rnacentral:lncRNA from 1 species
AAAUAUGUCUACUCUGGCUCACCAUCUCAUGGAAUUACAAAAAUGUCUACUCUGGCACACCAUCCCCCAGAAUUACAAAUAUGUCUACUCUGGAUCAUACUUUCAGAUUACAAAUGUGUCCAUUCCAGCUCACCAUCCUUUGGGAAUACUGAUAUGUCUACCUUGGCUCACCAUGUCCUGAGAUUACAAAUGUGUCCACUCUGCCUAACCAUCUCCUGGGAUUACAAAUGUUUCCAAUCUGGCUCACUUUUCCUGGGAUUACGAGUGUGUCCACUCUCGCUCACCAUCUCCUUGUAUUACAAAUGUGUCCACUCUGGCUCACAAUAUCCUGGAAUUACAAAUAUUUCCACUCUGGCUCAACAUCUACUAGAAUUACAAAUAUGUCCACUCUGGCUCACCAUCCUGUGGGAUUGCUAAUAUAUCCACCUUGGCUCACCAUCUCAUAGGAUUGCAAAUGUGUCCACUCUGGCUCACCAUCUCCUGGAGUUAUAAAUAUGUCCACUCUUGCUCACUGUCUGCUGGAAUUACAAAUGUUUCCACUCUGGUUCACCAUCUCCUGGAAUUACAAAUAUGCCACACUGGCUCACCAUCCUUUGUGAUUCCUAAUAUGUCCACCUUGGCUCACCAUCUCAUGCGAUUACAACUGGGGUCACUCUGGCUCACCAUCUCCUGGAAUUACAAAUGUGUCCACUCUGGCUCACCAACCUUUGAGAUAUCUAAUAUGUCCACCUUGGUUCACCCAUCUCAUUGGAUUACAAAUGUGUCCACUC